GGUGGUUUAGGGGUACUAUGGGGAUUGGAAGGGAUGGAGAUGCCUUGUGCAUGGUGGGUUUCUGGGUACCAGAUGGGUUAUGGGAUGCUUUAAGGGUACCAGGGCUAUUGGGAGGAUGGGAAUGUUGGGAGUGAUGGAGAUGCCUGGGA